GCAAUGAUGAUUUUUCUUCAUUAAGUUUGAUCAUUUUGAGCUGAAAUCACACUUAAUCCUCUAAGAAGUUCUGAGCUC